CCUAGUAAACUACUGAGAUAUAUUCCA
rnacentral:piRNA from 1 species